rnacentral:rRNA from 1 species
UACGGAAGGGGCAAGCGUUGUUCGGAAUCAUUGGGCGUAAAGGGCGCGCAGGUGGCUCUGUAUGUCCGCCGUGAAAGCAUACAGCUCAACUGUAUUGUGUCGGUAGAAACUGCAGGACUUGAGGCUGGGAGGGGCUGGUGGAAUUCCCUGUGUAGCGGUGAAAUGCGCAGAUAUCAGGAGGAACACCCGUAGCGAAGGCGGCACUCUGGGCCGAUACUGACACUGAGGAGCGAAAGCGUGGGGAGCGAACAGG